GUGAGGGUAACAAAGUCUGGUCAAAUGUGCAGGACUUAAGAUCCUGUGGCUUAGUGCCUUCGGGGGUUCGAAUCCCCUCCCUCACA
rnacentral:tRNA from 1 species